UACCUCAAAAUUCCGCAACAGUCUGUUUCAUCAUUCCGCAAGGUCAUACCGCCUGAUGAUUCUUUACUGAUGAAACAGACUGUUGCGGAAUUU